AAUCAAGGAUCGUCGUCUAAUACCUGCCACGUCCUGUGGCAAACGUCGACGCCAGUCCAUCCUGGACA
rnacentral:sRNA from 1 species